rnacentral:rRNA from 1 species
AACGAACGCUGGCGGCAUGCCUAACACAUGCAAGUCGAACGAGACCUUCGGGUCUAGUGGCGCACGGGUGCGUAACGCGUGGGAACCUGCCCUUAGGUUCGGAAUAACUCCCCGAAAGGGGUGCUAAUACCGGAUAAUGUCUUCGGACCAAAGAUUUAUCGCCUUUGGAUGGGCCCGCGUUGGAUUAGCUAGUUGGCAGGGUAAAAGCCUACCAAGGCGACGAUCCAUAGCUGGUCUGAGAGGAUGAUCAGCCACACUGGGACUGAGACACGGCCCAGACUCCUACGGGAGGCAGCAGUGGGGAAUAUUGGACAAUGGGCGAAAGCCUGAUCCAGCAAUGCCGCGUGAGUGAUGAAGGCCUUAGGGUUGUAAAGCUCUUUUACCCGGGAUGAUAAUGACAGUACCGGGAGAAUAAGCUCCGACUAACUCCGUG